CUUUGUUUGCAUUGACAAUAAUGAACUGUUUUAGACGGCAAGCUAUGCGAAGGAAGUUGAAUGGGGAGUUGCUGUUCUUAUUGUAUUGCUUGUCUGACGCUUCAGCCGGACCGCUGGGGAGUACGAAUCGUACAGACGCUUCCUCUUCAUCUUCAGACCCUUGAAACCAGUAAUGCUUCUGGUGUCCUUUUCUAACUCAAAGCUCACUGAGUGAUUCCGCUCACCUGGUGUUCUCCCAGAUCUGCACCAGUCUCUGAUUAGAGGGGAAGGAUUGAAACCGGCACCAGACUAGGCUACUGUUGGUCGGGAGGGCCAGGGUCGAGCGUCUCUGUGUUACAGGUUGUUUGUGCGCGCGCAGAUGUUGCUCUCGAGUUGUCCCGCAGCUUCGCGGUGUAUGCUGGGUUUUACUCCGUCUUUAACUGCAUUUUCCUCUAGUGAUUUUUCAGAAUUUGAUCUACUUUAUCCUCCGAGACCGAAUCGAUAUGCCUAUCCUCCUCGAAGAGAGAUUCGGUGUGCGUGCAUGAGCAUGAGCCUUUCCCGGUGUGAAUAUAGCGAAAGGCAAGAAUAAACUCUGGAGAGGGUGCCAAUCUAUCGCGCGGACAAUAGUUCAGCCAAUGAAAGUCAAGGAAGCCAUUAUGAGGCUGAGACAUACGAAGAAGAAAAAACUAUCAGAGACAUAGAGUAGGCCACACGUGUUAUUAGAAAAACCACAAAUUGUCAGAUAGCAGCUCUUAUAGAACAGUGAUCUGCAGAGGCAUCUCUGAAAGCACACUUGAAGCGGAUGGGCUACAACAGCAGGAAACCACACCGAGAUCUGCUCCUGUCAGCUGAAAACAGGAAGACGAGACCAUUCCCUCUCACCUGUGUGACCCCGGCUCUGACUUGUCCUGGUCCUGGGUAGCUCCUCCCCCAACUCCUCGCUCCACAUUAGCUCCUCCCACAGCCCCGCCCCCGCCGGAGGCCCUGCCUCUCUCAUUGACUCCGGCGGAGUGAUGUCAUUCCACACCGCAGUUCUACGCUCUGGGAGUACCUCUCUCUCUGCCAGUCUCUGCAGCGACUCAUACUCUCCAAUGACGGGCCUCAACUGUUUCUCCUCCCCCAUGAUUGGCUCCUCCCACAUCUCAGGCUGUUCCUGUGCCACAGGGCCCUGCUUAGAGAGCUGUUCUCCCUGGCUGCUUUUCACAGUCGUUUCUUGAACUGGAACCGCAAAGACCACUGAAAAUACACAAAAAUACAUAUUUGUGCCAAAUAAAAAAAUCUAUGAAAAUGUGA